GUAUCAUGACUGUCAGCUUAACGAAGAAGGCUGACCACCUGCCUCAACGUUGCCUUCAAGAAACGUGGGUUCUGCGAACAUUAUGACUCACUCCUUUGCAUACAGCAUAUUCACGUGAUUGGCAGUAACACGGUUAUGUUCAAGCUGUUCUAGACCACACUUUGCAUGAAUCUUAGUCAAAGAGCAACACACUUUGCCAGGUUGUGGCGUUCAAGGAUCCCGCUAUAACAUCUGACGUUUCGUACUUCCGCACGCCACCUUGAACGCAGCGUGAUUCUGCGAUGGCGGCUGCUCCACCUGGUCGGGCUGCUGGCUCCAGCGGGCAGCUCUUUCCCUGGGUUUUUCCACAAGGAAAAGUUACCUUGGAAAGCGAGAGUUCCAGAGUCUAAAGACCUGUGGCACCUCGUCUACUAAAACCUGGAGGCCUUUUAGUUAUGCAUUCUUGUUAAACCUUCAUUCAGAGACAACCCCAAGCUGAAGAGUUUGAACUCUAAACAUGUCCAAGGAUACGGACCAUGAAGAGUUCUUCGGACUACUACAAAUUGUCUAUCCGAAGAUGCAGAAGCUGACCGGAGGAUGGCUUAUGUACAAGGCUACAGGUGGAGAAAGCUUGCAUGGAUUCCGAGAUGGCAGCAGAGGAUUUUGAGGAGCAGAAGACCAUGGGAUGGCUGAGUCAACUGCCUGGACAAUGGAGAAGAGCAGAUCAAAAGGAGCAGAAGACCAUGGGAUGGCUGAGUCAACUGCCAUGAGCCUGGACAAUGGAGAAGAGCAG